UCAUGUUAGACCUCAUGUCCGAUACACACAUCGAGCGGGCAAUUUACUGUACAAGCAUACUUUCCCAUCUGCACAGCUGGCGGCGGAAUAAUUCGAAGUCGCGUGCUAGUCCGAUUAUUUUUUCGACACAUAAAGGGACUAAUCUACUAUAUAUCACUAUAAAAGAAAAAGAGGAGCAGAUCCAAAUAAUUAUAUCCGUUCAUCUACAAAAUCUGAUGGUCCAUAUUCUUUUCGUGUUUAACCUAACAAGCCACGUACAGUCCAUCCACCGCUAAAAAAAAACGUUUGCACGACCUCUCGCCCCGCCCGCACGACCUCACGCCUCCGCGCCGUUCCUCCCGCACGCCCCCACGUCGUUCCUCCUCCCGCAGUCGGGUGUGGGCCGCAGGUCACCGAGCCGUCGCCGGAGCCGCCCUCCGCCGCGGGCCGCAGGUCGCCGAGCCGCGUGCCGCCGGAGCCGCCCUUCGCCGCGGGCCGCAGGUCGCCGAGCCGCCGCCCCGGAGCCGCCCUUCGCCGCAGUCUCGCCGCACGCUGUGUCCUCCAAGGAGAUGGAAGCUGCUAUUCAACGAGGAGGGUUGCCUAGACGCAGCUGGAAUGAUCAUGAGAGUACAGCGUGGGGGUGUCCACCCAAAUAUCAAAGGGGAAGUAUAUAUGGGAGUUUUUUCUGGGUUGUUACGACCCGAAAAGCACUACUGAACAGAGGAACCAGUUGCGGCAACAGAGAAGGCAUCCAAUGUUAGGAAAGAGAGGAGAUGGUCUUCGUCAGUUGCACUGAAGCAUGGGAAGGAUGCAGGUGAAGCGUGGAGAAGGACACCGACGUUGUCGAGGUUGUUAUAGCAGCGACACUCGAGAACGCUCAAGGGAAGAGUAGAUGCGCCUGUGUGGCUGGGUGACUCUGACCACUGGAAGCAGUUAAUCACAUGAUUGUAAAGGAAUAUGCGAAGCUGAUGAGACUAGAGCUAAAGUUCUUUCUCUUGGAUUCCUCAGUUAGGUACAUCAUUUCUUCAAUUGUCCACAUUUUAAACUGUAUAUUAUUGUCAUAAAUCAAGUGGAAUAUGUGUAUGCAAACUGUCAAACUAAAACUUGGAAACAAACAUCAUUGAUUACUAAUCGAUGAUGUAACUUUUGAAGGAAGUAACAAAUGGAAUGAUUUGUUGCCCAUGUACAUUUGGUAAUUUUCUUUGAUAGUUUUUGUUGUUUAUGUAUAGAAAAAAAAUCAUUGGUAGAGAGGAAUCUUUCUGAAAAUGUUUUCUCGGUAAUGAAAUGGGGAGAAAAUGUUUCUCAAAAUGUUCAUUUCAAUUUUUUAUGGCUGAAAUAUGGGAAAGGAUGGCGAGUCCAUGAUGCUUGGGUUCUUUGCAAUUCAUUUUCUUCCAUUCCUAUGAUGUAGAUAUUUCUUCUGUGUCAACCUAAAGUAUUAUCCGCUUCUGAUAAAUGCAAAGGAAAAUCUGCAAGUUACCAUUUACCUUUAUGCAUAUUUAUUCUGUUAGUGUGACUUAAACAUUCAAUAUGCUUUGCCUAUUGACUAUGUUAGAGCUGAUCUGUGCGAGCUGUUAGCCUUUUGAUGAACACAUGGUGUUGAUUAUUUAGGACUGGAAUGUUCAGCCUCCCUGUAUGCCGACUACAUUUCUAAGACAUGAACCUAUUUUUGUACUAUGGUCAUCAUUUCUAAGACUUGCUGAUGCACACUGCUAAUUGCUACAGUAGACACGCAGGCGCAGCUUGGUGCAUUCUUCUCUUCUUUCCCUUUAUAUUUUCUUCAUCCUUGUGCUUGUAAAUUUGUAACUCAAGAGGUCACAAACUUCUGCAAUAUGGAGGCAUCACUUUCAAACUGGUACAUAUGCAUGUAGCUGUUCAUGAAGCAUCAUUUUACUAAAGUGUCCAAUGUAUGUUCUCUUAUAAUCCAGGUGCUUGAUCAAGGCUGCGUAUGAGCUUAUUAACAUCGAUGGUGUGCUAAAUGUGAUCAUAAGGAACCUGGAAAAGGAGUAUGUCUCUUAAUGGACAUCUUUCUAUUUUGCAUUGAACUUUGAUUAAUUAUUUUACUGUACAUUUUCCAAAAUUCAAGGAUUGGCUUCUUACUCAUUACAAAUGGUUCCAGUCUUUAUUCUUAGUUUUUACAGUUACAUAAAGAACAAUGUUCAAAUUCACUGACCUGUGCUUUGUGACAGUACUUCACUGUAUGUUCAUUAUAUAUGCAUGUAGCAAUACUUCCUUUCAAUCUAUUCAUUAGUUCGUAAGCUAGAUCGUAUGCCAAGUUGUAUUUACUGGACACUUGCUACUCUUUUCCUUGUGCAAUUAUUCAGUCCUGGUUAUAUUUUGUGGUAUUUCUGAGUUGCAUAAAUGACUCGAAACAUCGGGAGCUACUAAAUCUUGCCUGUACUGAAUUUGUGCUUUUUUGCAAUAUCAAAAUAUGGUUCUCCUUCAAAGUAUUAUUUUUCCUUCUACUGAAUAUGCUUCUGGAAAAGGAUCUCAACAGAUCAACUAGAAGGAGAAGAGAGCAGCCAAAGAGAAGUUAAGAACAAGACACAUGCUUCAGAUUAACUCCUAUUCCUGGACCUAUAUGCUUUUGAUAAUUGAAUUAGAUAAAACAAGUAUAUAUUUCUAAUCGUAUGAUUUUGACAUGCAGCUAAGUUUUUCAUAUGUCUGACUAUUGUGUUGCCGUGCAAAUAUGCAGAAGGAUGGUCUACCUUUUUGGGA